rnacentral:rRNA from 1 species
UACGAAGGGGGCUAGCGUUGCUCGGAAUUCACUGGGCGUAAAGCGCACGUUAGGCGGAUUGUUAAGUCAGGGGUGAAAAUCCUGGAGCUCAACUCCAGAACUGCCUUGAUACUGGCGAUCUCGAGUCCGGGAGAGGUGGAGUGGAACUGCGAGUGUAGAGGUGAAAUUCGUAGAUAUUCGCAAGAACACCAGUCGGCGAAGGCG